AGAGCGAACGCUGGCGGCAGGCCUAACACAUGCAAGUCGAGCGCCCGUAGCAAUACGGGAGCGGCAGACGGGAUAGUAACACGUGGGAACGCGCCCUUCGGUUCGGAAUAACUCAGGGAAACUUGAGCUAAUACCGAAUACGCCCUUACGGGGAAAGAUUUAUUGCCGAAGGAACGGCCCGCGUCCGAUUAGCUAGUUGGUGAGGUAAUGGCUCACCAAGGCUACGAUCGGUAGCUGGUCUGAGAGGAUGACCAGCAUCACUGGGACUGAGACACGGCCCAGACUCCUACGGGAGGCAGCAGUGGGGAAUAUGGACAAUGGGCGCAAGCCUGAUCCAGCCAUGCCGCGUGGAUGAUGAAGGCCUUAGGGUUGUAAAGUCCUUUUAACGGGGAGAUAAUGACGGUACCCGUAGAAUAAGCCCGGCUAACUUCGUGCCAGCAGCCGC
rnacentral:rRNA from 1 species